GACGGAGGGUGCUAGCGUUGUUCGGAAUUACUGGGCGUAAAGGGCGCGUAGGCGGCCCUGGAAGUCGGGUGUGAAAGCCCGGGGCUCAACCCCGGAACGGCACCCGAUACUCCUGGGCUCGAGACCGGGAGAGGUGGGUGGAAUACCCAGUGUAGAGGUGAAAUUCGUAGAUAUUGGGUGGAACACCGGUGGCGAAGGCGGCCCACUGGCCCGGUUCUGACGCUGAGGCGCGAAAGCGUGGGGAGCAAACAGG
rnacentral:rRNA from 1 species